GAACUCCGAUUGCGANGGCAGCUUGCUGGACUGUAACUGACGCUGAGGCACGAAAGCGUGGGGAUCAAACAGGAUUAGAUACCCNGGUAGUCCACGCCGUAAACGAUGAAUGCUAGCUGUUAGCGAUAUACUGUUAGCGGCACAGAGAAAUCGUUAAGCAUUCCACCUGGGGAGUACGCCGGCAACGGUGAAACUCAAAGGAAUUGACGGGGGCCCGCACAAGCGGAGGAACAUGUGGUUUAAUUCGAUGAUACGCGAGGAACCUUACCUGGGCUUAAAUUGCAGUGGAAUAACGUGGAAACAUGUUAGCCUUCGGGCCGCUGUGAAGGUGCUGCAUGGUUGUCGUCAGCUCGUGCCGUGAGGUGUCGGCUUAAGUGCCAUAACGAGCGCAACCCUCAUCGAUAGUUACUAACAGGUUAAGCUGAGGACUCUAUCGAGACUGCCGACGUAAGUCGUGAGGAAGGUGGGGAUGACGUCAAAUCAGCACGGCCCUUACGUCCAGGGCUACACACGUGUUACAAUGGGGGGUACAAAGGGCAGCUACCUGGCGACAGGAUGCUAAUCUCUAAAACCUCUCUCAGUUCGGAUUGGAGUCUGCAACCCGACUCCAUGAAGCUGGAUUCGCUAGUAAUCGCGCAUCAGCCACGGCGCGGUGAAUACGUUCCCGGGCCUUGUACACACCGCCCGUCAAGCCAUGGGAGCCGGGGGGACCUGAAGUAUGCAACCGUAAGGAGCGUCCUAGGGUAAAACUGGUGACUGGGGCU
rnacentral:rRNA from 1 species